rnacentral:rRNA from 1 species
AUUACUCCUACGGGAGGCAGCAGUGGGGAAUAUUGCACAAUGGGCGAAAGCCUGACCCAGCAACGCCGCGUGGGCGAUGAAGGCCUUCGGGUCGUAAAGCCCUUUAGCAGGGGACGAUGAUGACGGUACCCUGCGAAUAAGCCACGGCUAACUACGUGCCAGCAGCCGCGGUAAUAAUC